ensembl:snRNA U6 U6 spliceosomal RNA
GUGCUCACUUUGGCAGCACAUAUACUAAAAUGGGAAUGAUACAGAGAAGAUUAGCAUGGCCCCUGCACAAGAAUGACAUGCAAAUUCCAUGGGCAGCCCACAUGGUA